AGUGAACGCUGGCGGUAGGCCUAACACAUGCAAGUCGAACGGCAGCACAGUAAGAGCUUGCUCUUACGGGUGGCGAGUGGCGGACGGGCGAGGAAUACAUCGGAAUCUACUUUUUCGUGGGGGAUAACGCAGGGAAAAUUACGCUAAUACCGCAUACGACCUACGGGUGAAAGCAGGGGAUCUUCGGACCUUGCGCGAGUGAAUGAGCCGAUGUCGUAUUAGCUAGGUGGCGGGGUAAAGGCCCACCAAGGCGACGAUCCGUAGCUGGUCGGAGAGGCUGAUAGGCGGCACGGGAGGUGAGACACGGACCAGGCUCCUACGAGAGGGAGCAGUGUGGAAUGUUGGGCAGUGGGCGGAAGCAUGGUCCAGCCAUACCACGUGGGAUAAGAAAGCGUUCGGGUUGUAAAGCCCGUUUGUUGGGAGAGAAAAGCAGCAGGUUAAUACCCCGCUGUUCUGACGGUACCCAAAGAAUAAGCACCGGCUAACUUCGUG
rnacentral:rRNA from 1 species